rnacentral:rRNA from 1 species
AGAGUUUGAUGGUGGCUCAGAUUGAAUGCUGGCGGCAGGCCUAACACAUGCAAGUCGAGCGGAAACGAGUUAUCUGAACCUUCGGGGGACGAUAACGGCGUCGAGCGGCGGACGGGUGAGUAAUGCCUAGGAAAUUGCCCUGAUGUGGGGGAUAACCAUUGGAAACGAUGGCUAAUACCGCAUAAUGCCUACGGGCCAAAGAGGGGGACCUUCGGGCCUCUCGCGUCAGGAUAUGCCUAGGUGGGAUUAGCUAGUUGGUGAGGUAAGGGCUCACCAAGGCGACGAUCCCUAGCUGGUCUGAGAGGAUGAUCAGCCACACUGGAACUGAGACACGGUCCAGACUCCUACGGGAGGCAGCAGUGGGGAAUAUUGCACAAUGGGCGCAAGCCUGAUGCAGCCACGCCGCGUGUGUGAAGAAGGCCUUCGGGUUGUAAAGCACUUUCAGUCGUGAGGAAGGUGGUGUAGUUAAUAGCUGCAUUACUUGACGUUAGCGACAGAAGAAGCACCGGCUAACUCCGUGCCAGCAGCCGCGGUAAUACGGAGGGUGCGAGCGUUAAUCGGAAUUACUGGGCGUAAAGCGCAUGCAGGUGGUUUGUUAAGUCAGAUGUGAAAGCCCGGGGCUCAACCUCGGAAUAGCAUUUGAAACUGGCAGACUAGAGUACUGUA